rnacentral:rRNA from 1 species
CCUACGGGGGGCAGCAGUGGGGAAUAUUGGACAAUGGGCGAAAGCCUGAUCCAGCCAUGCCGCGUGUGUGAAGAAGGCCUUCGGGUUGUAAAGCACUUUCAGUGGGGAAGAAAGCCUUGGGGCUAAUACCCUCGAGGAAGGACAUCACCCACAGAAGAAGCACCGGCUAACUCCGUGCCAGCAGCCGCGGUAAUACGGAGGGUGCGAGCGUUAAUCGGAAUUACUGGGCGUAAAGCGCGCGUAGGCGGUCUGAUAAGCCGGUUGUGAAAGCCCCGGGCUCAACCUGGGAACGGCAUCCGGAACUGUCAGGCUAGGGUGCAGGAGAGGAAGGUAGAAUUCCCGGUGUAGCGGUGAAAUGCGUAGAGAUCGGGAGGAAUACCAGUGGCGAAGGCGGCCUUCUGGACUGACACUGACGCUGAGGUGCGAAAGCGUGGGUAGCAAACAGGAUUAGAUACCCCAUAGUC